AUUUUUUGUUUUUUGCUUUUUUUGUAACCCAUGAUAGAGUUUUUUGUAAUCCAUGAUUGAAUUUUUUGUAAUCCAUGAUCGAACUAUUUUUUUCUUUUUUUGUAAUCCACGAUUGAAUUUUUUGUUUUUUUUGUUUGUUUUUUUUUUGUAAUCCAUGAUCGAAUUUUAUGUAAUCCAUGAUCGAAUUUUAUGUAAUCCAUGAUCGAAUUUUAUGUAAUCUAUGAUCGAAUUUUAUGUAAUCCAUAAUUGAAUUUUUUGAAAAUUUGUGAUUUUUUUUGUUUAAUCCAUGAUCGAAUUUUUUUUUGUAAUCCAUGAUAGAAUUUUUUGAAAAUUUGUGAUUUUUUUUUUAAUCCAUGAUCGAUUUUUUUGAAAAUUUGUUUUUUUUUUUUUUAAUCCAUAUUAUUCAAAGAGAAAACGAGAGAGAUGAUGAUUUUGAGGCCACCCUAUCCCAGCCAUAUAAUUUACAUAUCGAGUCCCAACAGCAACAGUGUAGGGAUGAGCACGAAAUACUGUAAAUUAAAUGCUGAAUGGCGGUUCAUGCAGGGAAAGAACAUAUCAAUAUUCGCAUAUUCAUUAAAAAACAUGAAAAUUCUUAAUGGAGUACCCUCAUUUUUUAUUGAAUUCUUAAAAACCAAUAUUUAUAAUGAAUUUUAAUAAUUUUUUCGGAUUUUUUUGAAGCUUUAUUCUGAC
rnacentral:lncRNA from 1 species